rnacentral:lncRNA from 1 species
CCGAAUCCAAAUUCGUAUCUGGGGAAUGAUAUUUCUUCUGCUGAUACUGGAAUUCCAAGUUUUUCCUACUAGGGAGGACAUAAUCUGAAUCCAAAUCCAUAUCUGGUGAAUGAUAUUUCUUCUGCUGGUACUGCAAUCCCAAGUUAUUCCUAGCACUUUCUGCUUUUUCUUCAGCUAUCAUAUAGCUUUCAGGCUUAUGAACUUGAGCAUUCCUCGAAUAAGGUCUCAGUCGACC